AAAAUCUUUUCCCACAUCUAUUGGGAUAAUCAUAUUGUUAUGUUUUUUGUUUUUAUUAUAUUUUUAAUAUGGCUAAUUAUAUUGAAUUUUUUACUUACUGUUGAACCAUUCUUUCAUAUAUAGAAUAAGUCCAGCUCGGUGAUAACAAAUGAUUUCUUGGAUGUCACGGAAAUCUCUUUUUCAAAAUUUUACUUUAAAAUUUUUAGUUGGGGUCAAAAUAGCAGAAUUAAUGCAGCAACCCAGUUGCACUGUCCCAAUGUUCCCUUCCAAACAACUUUAAAACCAUGCCUCCAGUCAAAUUCUGGAAUAGCAGAGCUAAUAAAAGGGGGGGGGGAAGACAUUUUCCCCACAUAGGAUAACUUAAAGAUCUGUGACAGUGCUGGGGUAAGAGGUUGUCCUUGACAAUAAUUAUGACAGUUGGAUAACUAGUCCAAAGGAUAUUAUUGGGGUACUCUUUGCUUGUGCUGGAUGUAGGACAGAGAGCUGAGGCAACUAUUGCACUUUUCAAUUUUUAAAUGCAUAUUUAGUUCAUUAACUAUGUCUUUUUUAUUUUGCUAAUCUAUGUUUAUAGAGAAACAAUUUCCCCCUGCGGAUUACUUUACCUACAUCCCCCAAAUUCUGAUAUGUUGUUUCAUUAUUCUCAUUUUCUUUUACAUAAUUGUUUUAUGAUUUUAGAUAGAAUAGAAUAUUAAAAUCUUUUGUCUCUAUUGUGUUGUAGUCUGUGACUUCUUGUAGUUCCAGUAAUGUUUCUUUUAUGAAUGCUAAGGCAUUUGGAGCAUAUAAAUUUCAUAUAAAUACUGUUUUGUUACAUAUAAUACUUUUCCAUAUAAUGUAGUUUCCUUAUUUAUCCUUUUUUAUGUUUUGACUAUUUGUUUUCUGGUUAAUAUGAUUCCAGCUCCUAUUUGUUUGGAUUCACUUGAAGCAUAGUAAUUUUUUCCUAUCUCCUUAUUUGUAUUUUUUCCAUGUCUUUAUUUUAAAAUGCUUUAUGUUAGCAUCAGAUUUUUCUCUUAUACAUUGUGUUCAUCAUUUAUUUUAUUGUAUUAUUUAUUUCAUAUUUAAAGCUAUGAAAAUUAGAUUUCUAUUUUCUUUAUUUGUUAUAUAUACAUAUAAGCACAUAUAUAGGCACAAGUACACAAAAUUAGAAUUUUCCUGUCUAGCUUUUGUUAACUGCCCUAAGCUGAGAGCUCUAGAUCAAAGGGGCCAUCAUCCUUCUGAAUAUCUAGGAAAGUAUAUCAUUGCUUACUAAAUGGGAGCCAGUAUGGUCAUCAACUAUAAUUGAAGAGAAGCAGAGAAUCUCAGUUACCACAUGAUUAGCAGCAUGUCUCUACAGUGAAUCAAGAUGUGAUGUCCUAAGUGUAACAUGAAAUCACCAGAAGAUAUCAGCAAUCUGGAGUCAUCAGACUUGGGUUGCCCCAGGUACAUGUAUGCCCAGGUUACUUGCUGCUCUACAUGUGACCUUGCCAUACAUGUUCCUGUUGCAUACCUCUCCUGUAGUUCACUGGCCUCAGUCAUUUACUGCACAUGUAUCCUGCAUUAAUGUUUAGUGGAUAAAGAUGGUAUUGUUGGUAAACCUGUAGCACUGGGUUUGCAUUUUCCUGGAUAAAUGUGUGGUUGUUUUACCCAUGUUUUACCAUGCAUUUAACAUAGAUAUUCAUUUUGGGGGUGUAUUUCUUCUCUGUGUAAAUUCAGUGAUCAAAAGCAUUCACCAUAUUCCUCAAAUGUUCUUGUCACAUUCUCUUCAUGUUUGCUCUUUCCUCAUGGUUAAGUAUCAGUCUGUAAAGGGUAUUCUCCUCUAAGGGUGGGCUCAGAUAAUAAUUCUUGUCUCUUUUUUGCUUUAUUUUUUAAAUGCUUGCCUUCCAUCUUAAAAUCAAUACUGUGUAUUGGCUCCAAGGCAGAAGAGUGUUAAGGGCCAGGCAAUGGGGAUUAAGUGACUUAUCUCAGGGCCACACAGCUAAGAAGUAUCUGAGGCUAAAUUUGCACCCAGGACCUUCUGUCUCUCAAUCCACUGAGACACUUACCUGUUACUAAAUGGUUUUUAUUAAAUAGAUAUAUUUUUAACUCAGAGUAAAUCCAUUAGUAACUACUCCUGAACUCUGUUUUGGAGUUUUUGCUGUCCCUCAUAAUGUUUUUGAUUUGGGAACAGUUUUCUGAGUGUAUUAGAUAGUUUGCAAGAUAUAAGAUUGUUCUAAAAGGAAGCUAUAAACUCCCUUAUUGUUGUGUGCUAAAGUACUGUUAUUUAUUAAUAAAUAAAGGCAAUUCAAAGAAUAGUCUCUGUCUUUCCACAGGAGCAUCUAGCUUGCCUGUCUACCCUUAGCAGAGGGAGUAUCAACAAAGGGGCUGUCUUAUUCUCACACCAAGAAAAAAUUUCUAUACCUCAUGUUUUAAUGGAGAGAAAUCUGAGUCACCAACAGGUAUCUCAGAAAAGAGAUAGCCCAGAUAUUGGGUACAGAAAGUUGUUCAGUGACCAGGAAGAAGGUCAUAAGGAUAUAUCAGCACAGUGGAGAUGUGACAUCCAAAAGAGAGGAGGACUCUGCUUGUAUUGUGUUUGAUAGCCCUAACCAAGCCAAAGGCUUUUUGGGGAUCGAAGAAGCUGUCAUCCUUCCUGUAUCCAGAAAGAGCAGCAUUGCUUAGGAUAAGGGAGCCAAUGUUAUCACCAGGAGUGUUCAAUGCCCACAAGAUCAGUAAAAUUUCUUCCCAGAGAAUUGAGAUGUGAAUAAAUAUGAAUUCAUCAGCAAUCUGGUAUCAUUGCAUUUAGGUUUCCCCAGGUGUAGGAUCCAAUGAAGUGGAACAAUUGAGAUUGCAGAGGCAGCAAAUCAGGAAUUCUUACUCAUCGGGACCAAGGAUGUCCUAGAACCUGGGACAAACCAAUCCAGAUAGGGCAGGUGACCUCAUGGGUCCCCCUGGUCACAGUGUUCGACAGAAUCCCAGGGAACAGUGGCAAACAGAUGAAGGUGAGUGGGGGACUCCAAAGGUGAUGGAUGGAUUUGAGAUCUUCCAACUUCUCUCAUCCUGUCCAUAUCAAAAUGAGGGAAAAGAAAUACAGAAGUCCCUGUUCGCAAAUCCAAAGAAGUACCACUUAUUGAUCCUACCAGACAGGACAAAGGGAUAGCUGCUUAAACAAUCAGCAGCCCACAGAGGUGAAGGAUGGAGCUCCAGUAUCCUAACCAAGAGAACUAGAAACCAGUCCUGCACUUGUCUGUCCUGAGUCCAUGUCCAAAAUAGUCAGUCUUUCCCCAUACUAGAUAGGACUUGUUAUUUGAUGGCUGGCAGAAUUAAUCCUGUUCGGACGUAGACCUCCAUAAGGUUCUUACAUGCAGUCAGAACCAAAGGGAGGAGGCAGAGUAUUCGAGGCAUAGUGGUGGGAAUGGGUUAGGUAGCAAUGGCUAAUGAAGGCUGAAAGAUAAGUUGGGGCCCCAUUCUGAGGUGCUUUAAAAAGCCAAAUGGAAGAGUUUCUGUACUAGAGAGUAAUUGUGAGUAAAGAAAUAAAAUGGGCAGAUGGGCACUUUAAUGGAGAUCCAUCACUUACAAUGUUGGGCUGGUUGCCUGGGAGACCCAGCCCUAGUGCACAGAUCACAGACCCUUGGAAUCAGGAACACACAGUGAAACCUUCAGUUGGUAGUUGUGGUUUCUAGGGGAUGUGGCUUCCCUGUGCUCACACACAGGUCCAUGGCUGGGUAUACAGAAGACAUUUUAAAUCAAACAUGACUUUACUCAAGUUCCUUGUUGACAGGUGACCUCAUGGAUCCCCCUGGUCACAGUCUUUGAGGGAAACCCAGUGAGCAGCAGCACGCUGAGGAUAGUUAGUGGGAGACACCAAAGGUAAUGGAUGGAGGUGAGAUUUUCUAACUCCUCUCCUCCAAUCAUUAUCAAAACUAGUGAAAAGAAAUAGGGAAGUCCCUGUUUCCAAAAUCAAAGAAUUACCAGUUAUUGAUCCUAACAGACAGGCCAAAGGGAUGGCUGCUCAAAGAAUCAGCAGCCCACAGAGGUGAUGGAUGGAGCUCCAGCAUCCUAACCUAGAGAACUAGAAACCAGUCCUCCACUUAGCUAUCCUGAGCCCAUGUCCAAAACAGUCAGUCCAUCCCCAGACUAGAUAGAAUCAGCUAUUUGAUGGCUGGCAAGAUUAACCUCACUGGAACCAGUACCUACCUAGGAUCUUGCAAUAAUCAGAACUAAAUUGAGGAGGUAUGGUAUUCUAGGCAUGGUGGUAGGACUGGACUUGGGUGGCAAAGGCUAUUGAAGGAUGAAAGACACGUUGGGGCUCUAUUGUGAUGCACUUCAAAAAGCCAAACAGAAGAGUUUCUAUACUAGAGAGUAAUUGUGAGAAAGGAAGAUAAAUGAGCUGAUGUGUGCUUUAAGAGAGAUGCAGGGGGCAGCUGGGUAGCUCAGUGGAUUGAAAGCCAGUCCUAGAGAUGGGAGGUCCUAGAUUCAAAUCUGGCCUCAGACACUUCCCAGCUGUGUGACCCUGGGCAAGUCACUUGACCCCCAUUGCCUAGCCCUUACCACUCUUCUGCCUUGGAGCCAAUACUGCGUAUUGGCUCCAAGACAGAAGGUAAGGGUUUAAAAAACAAGAAAAAAAAAGAGAGAUGCAGUACUUAGCAUGUUGGGUUGGUUAGCUGGGAGACCCAGCCUUGGGGUUAGGUCACACACCGUGGAAUCUGGAAUACACAGUGAAACCCUCAGUUGGUAGAUGAGGAUGAGAAAGAGACUUCCGUAUGCUCACACACAGGUCCAUAGCUGGGUAUAUAGAAUUCUUUUGAAAUCAAAUACGACUUUACUCAAAUUCCUUGUAGACAGGUGACCUCAUGGAUCCCCCUGGUCACAGUAUUCUAGAGAACCCCAGCAAGUAGAGACACUCAGAGAAAGGUGAGUGGUGGCUCCAAGGUGAUGGAUUGAGGUGAAAUCUCCAACUCCUCUCCUCCCAUCCAUAUCAAACAAAGGGAGAAGCAAUAGGAAAGUUCCUGUUCCCAAAUCCAAAAAAUUAGCACUUAUUGAUCCUAGCAGACAGGCCAAAGGGAUGGAUGCUCAAAAAAUCACCAGCUCAAAGAGGGGAUGGAUGGAUCUCCAGCCUCCUAAGCUAGAGAACUAGAAACAAGUCCUGCACUUAUCUGUCCUGAACCCAUGUCCAUGAGUACUUCCCCAGAGUAGAUGGGACUUGUUAUUUGAUGGCUGGCAGAAUUAACCACGUUGGGACGUAGACCUCCAUAGGAUCCUUACAUGUAGUCAGAACCAAAGUUAGGAGGCAGAGUAUUUGAGGCAUAGUGGUGGGACUGGGUUUGGGUAGCAAUGGCUAAUGAAGGCUGAAAGAUAAGUUGGGACCCCGUUAUGGGGAGCUUUAAAAAGCCAAACAGAAGAGUUUGAAUCUGGACAUACAGUGAAACCCUCAGUUGGUAGAUGAUGCUGAGAAGGGAAGUGGCCUCCCUAUGCUCACACACAGGUCCAUGGCUGGUUAUACAGAAGACUUUUGAAAUCAAACAUGACUUUACUUACUCAAGUUCCUUGUUGACAGGUGACCUCAUGGAUCCCCCUGGUCACAGUGUUCAAGGGAAACCCAUUGAGCAGCAGCACUCAGAGGAUAGUUAGUGGGGGACUCCAAAGGUGAUGGAUGAAGGUGAGAUUUUCCAACUCCUGUCCUCACGUCCAUAUCAAACCUAGUGAGAAGAAAUAGAGAAGUCCCUGUUUCGAAAACCAAUGAAGUACCAGGUAUUGAUCCCAGCAGAUAGGCCAAAGGGAUGGCUGCUCAAAGAAUCAGCAGCCCACAGAGGUGAUGGAUGGAGCUCCAGCAUCCUAACCUAGAGAACUAGAAACCAGUCCUACACUUAGCUAUCCUGAGCCCACUUCCAAAACAGUCAGACCAUCCCCAGACUAGAUAGAACCUGCCAUUUGAUGGCUGAUAAGGUUAACCCUGCUGGGACUGGGACCUACAAAAGAUCCUGAAUGUAAUCAGAACUAACCUGAGGAGGUAAGGCAUUCUAGGCAUGGUGGUGGGACUGUACUUGUGUAGCAAAGUGUAUUGAAGGCUGAAAGACACAUGGGGUUCUGUUGUGAUUCACUUCAAAAAGCCAAAGAGAAGAGUUUCUAUACUAGAGAGUAGUUUUAAGGUAGAAAAAUGGGUAGAUGUGCGCUUUAAGGGAAAUGCAUCACUUAGCAUGUUGGGUUGGUUGCCUGGGAGACCCAGCCCUAGUGCUUAGGUCACAGACCCUUGGAAUCUGGAAUACACAGUGAAACCCUCAGUUGGUAGAUGAGGCUGAGAAGGGAAGUGAGUUCCCUAUGCUCACACACAGGUCCAUAGCUGGGUAUAUAGAACAUUUUAAAAUCAAAUAUGACGUUACUCAAAUUCCUUGUAGACAGGUGACCUCAUCGAUACCCCUGGUCACUGUGUUUGAGAGAAACCCAGCGAGCAGUGACACUCAGGGAAAGGUGAGUGGGGGACUCUAAGUUGACAGAUGGAGGUGAAAUCUUCCAACUCCUCUCCCCCUAUCCAUAUCAAACCAAGGGAGAAGCAAUGGGGAAGUCCCUGUUCCCAAAUCCAAAGAAGUAUCACUUAUUGAUCCUAGCAGACAGGCCAGAGGGAUGUCUGUUCAAACAUUUAUUAGCCCACAGAGAUGAUUGAUGGAGCUUCAGUCUCCUAACCUAGAGAACUAGAAACCAGUCCUCCACUUUUCUGUCCUGAGCCCACGUCCAAAACAGUCAGUCCUUCCCUGCACUAGAAAGGACUUGUUAUUUGAUGGUUGAUAGAAUUAUCCCUGCUGGGACUUAGACCAGACCCCAGUAGGGUCCUUACAUGCAGUAAGAACCAAAAUGAGGAGGAAGCGUAUUCAAGGCAUGGUGGUGGGAAUCAAUGGUUAAUGAAGGCUGAAAAAUGAGUUAGGACCCCGUUGUGAGGUGCUUUAAAAGUGAACCAGAAGAAUAUCUAUCCUAGAGAGUAGUGAGUAAGGAAGUAAAAUGGGCUGAUAUGGGCAUUAAGGGAGAUCCAUCACGCAGAAUGUUGAGUUGGUUGCCUGAGAGACUCAGCUCUAGUGCUGAGGUCAUAGACCCCUGAAAUCUGGAACACACAGUGAAACCCUCAGUUGGUUGAUAAUGCUGGGAAGGGAAGUGGCCUCCCUAUGCUCACACACAGGUCCAUGGCUGGGUACACAGAAGCCUUUUGAAAUCAAACAUGACUACUCAAAUUCCUUAUUGACAGGUGACUUCAUCAAUCCCUCUGGUCGCAGUGUUCGAGAGUAACCCAUUGAGCAGCAGCACUCAGAGGAUAGUCAGUGGGGGACUCUAAAGGUGAUUGAUGGAGACAGGAGACCUCAUGGAUCUCCCUGGUCACAGUGUUCAAGAGAAUUCCAGUGAGGAGCAGCACUCAGAGAAAGGUGACCUCAUGGGUCCCCCUGGUCACAGAGUUCGAGAGAAUCCCAGGGAGCAGCAAGACACAGAUGAAGGUGACGUCAUGGAUCCCCAUGGUCACAAUGUUUGAGGCAAAUGCAGCAAGCAGCAGCUCUCAGAGGAUAGUGAGUGGGGGACUCCAAAGGUGAUAGAGACAGGUGACAUCGUGGAUCUUCCUGGUCGCAGUGUCGAGGGAAACAAAGCAGGCAACAGCACUCAGAGGAAUGUGAGUAGGGGACUCCAAACAUAAUGGAUAGAGGUGAGAUCUUCCAACUCCUUUCCUCCCUUCCAUAUCAGAUUGAGGGAGAAGAAAUUGGUAAGUCCCUGUUCCCAAAACCAAAGAAGCACCCGUUAUUGAUCCUAGCUGAAAGGCCAAAGUGAUGGCUGCUCAAACAACCAGCAGCCCACAGAGGUGAUGGAUGGAGCUCCAGCAUCCUAACCUAGGGAACUAGAAACCAUUCCUCCACUUAGUUGUUUUGAGGCAAGAUCCAAAACAGUCAAUCCAUCCCCAGACUUGAUAGAACCUGCUAUUUGAUGGAUGACAAGAUUAACCCUACUGGGACUGGGACCUACAUAGGAGCUUGCAUGUACUCAGAACUAACCUGAGGAGGUAAAGUAUUCUAGGUAUGAUGGUGGGACUGGAUUAGGGUAGCAAAGGCUAUUGAAGGCUGAAAGACCCUUUGGGACUCCGUUGUGAUGUGCUUCAAAAAGCCAAACAGAAGAGUUUCUAUACUAGAGGGGUAAUUGUAAGGAAGAAAAAUGGGCAGAUAUGGGCUUUAAGGGAAAUGUGUUACUUACAAUGUUGAGUUGGUUGCCUGGGAGACCCAGCCCUAGUGCUGAGGUCACAGACCCCUGGAAUCUGGAGCACACAUUGAAACCCUCAGUUGGUAGAUGAGGCUGAGAAGGGAAGUGGCUUCCCUAUGCUCACACACAGGUCCAUGGCUGGGUAUACAGGAGAUUUUUGAAAUCAAACAUGACUUUACUCAAAUUCCUUGUUGACAGGUGACCUCAUGGAUCUCCCUGGUCACAGUGUUCGAGGGAAACCCAGCAGGCAAUAGCACUCAGAGGAAUAUGAGUCGGGGACUCCCAAGGUGAUGGAUGGAAGUGAGAUCUUCCAACUCCUCUCCUGCCCUCCAUAUCAAACUGAGGUGGAAGUAAUAGGGAAGCCCCUGUUCUGAAAACCAAUACGGUACCAGUUAUUGAUCCUAGCCAACAACCAAAGGCAUGCCUGAUCAAACAGUCGGCAGCCCACAGGGGUAAUGGAGGGAGCUCUAGCAACCUAUCCCAGAGAAAUAGAAAUCAUUCCUCCACUUAGUUGUCCUGAAGCCAUGUCCAAAACAGUCAGUCCUUCCGCAGACUAGAUAGAACCUGCUAUUUGAUGACUGGCAGGAUUAAUGCUGCUGGGAGUGGGAUCUACAUAGGAUCUUGCAUGGAAUCAAAACCAACCUGAGGAUGUAAAGUAUUCUAGGCAUGCUGGUGGAACUGGGCUUGUGUAGCAAAAGCUAAUGAAGGCUGAAAAACAAGUUGGGACUCCUUUCUGAGGUGCUUUAAAAAGCCAAGCAGGACGCAGAGUCAAGAUGUUGGGCUAGAAGGAAAUGAAUUUCAGACCUCUGAAUACCCUUCCUUACCACAUACCGAAUGCUCCAAGGGCACUGAAAAUCAAACCUAACAAUAAGACAAGAACCAAGGAACCCUCCUGCUGGAAUCAAUUCAAAAGGUACGCCCCUCAAAGCCGGAAUCUGAGAACACUCGGGUUUAAGGGGAAGGCUGAAGGAAGGACCCAGGACCCUUCCCUCCUCCCAGAGAGAACGCUGAGCCUCCAGUGGCAGUGGGAACCUCUGGGCAGGCAAAGAUCCUGAGUUCCUGUUUGUCCUGAGUGUGUACCUUGAGGACAAGGCUGUGCCAAGCUCAAAGCCUCGAACACAGAUGGUGGGGAAGGAGCUGCAGAGGGAACUUAGAGCUGGCAGCCUGGCCAAAGCUGUGGAUACCCUCCAUAUUUGCUGCAGAGGUCCACGAGGUGUGGGCCCCAGAGCACACCCAGCCCAACCCAACUGAACUUAAUCCCAUCAAAAGUCUUCAGAACUCAGGGAAGCCCAGGCUCCACAGCCCUCCCUCAAAGACUGCUGGAUUUUAAUCUAAUCAAAAGCCUGCAGAGGACAGGGACACUCAAACCCCCAAAACCGUUGCCCACAGACUGCAUCCAAAGAUCCUCUCUAACUUCCAUGAGGAGAAGCUGUCAGAAGCCCCCAAAACCAAUAAAAAAAUGAGAGGAACAAGAGCACAGACAAAUGUGGGAGGGUCAAAGAAGGGUUGAAUAUAAGCAAACAACAGAAGAAGAAAGAAAUUACAAUAGACAGCUUCUAUACAGUGAAUGGAAUAGAGGGGGUGGGAUCAGCAAACAAUAAAUCAGGAAUCCCUGGGAAUUGAAUACAAGUUUUGGAAAAACUCAAAAUACAAUUCAAAACACAAUUAAGAGAGGCUAAAGACAAUUGGGGAAAAAACUUAAAAAUGAACACAAGUCAUCUGGAAAGAGAAGCAAUUGAACUAAAUGCAAAAAUAGUGUCUUUUAAGCCAAAAUCAAACAGCUGGAAAAUGAGCCAAAGGAGAUGAAAGAUGAGGCAAAGGUGAUAAAAUAUGAGGUAAAGAGGAUAAAGGAUGACCUCCAAGGAAAAUCAGACCAGAAAGAGAAGGAUGACCAAAAAGCCAGGGAUGAAAUCCAGUCUUUAAGAACCAGAAUACAACGACAAUUAAGUGACCUCACAGGGCUGCAGGACAUUAUAAAACAAAAACAAAAGAAUAAAAAUAUUGAGGAAAAUAUGAAGCAUCUCAUUCACAAAACAGAGGAUGUAGAAAAUUGUUUGAGCAGAGACAAUUUAAGAAUCACUGGUAUACCACAAAAACAUGACAAAAGAAAAAGUCUGUACACAAUACUACAGGAAAGUAAUUCAAGAAAACUGCCCUGAUAUUCUAGAACAAGUGGGAAAAGUGGAGAUUGAAAGAAUCCACAGAUUACCUCCUGUACUUAAUGAACUAUCUGACCAAAGAAAAGAUAUUACAAGCUGCCAAGAAGAAGUCAUUCACAUACCAUGGAACCACAGUGAGGUUAACACAGCAUCUGGCUGUAUCCACAUUAAAGGACCGAAAUGCAUGGAAUAUGAUAUUCCACAAAGCAAGGGAACUAGGUCUACAACCAAGAGCCAACUCCCCAGCAAAACUGAUUAUAUUCUUACAGGGGAAAGUAUGGUCAUUCAGCAAAAGAGAUACAUUCCAAGAAUUUGUAAAGAAAAGACCCGAGCUGAACAGGAAAUUCGAUGCCCAAGCACAGAACUCAAGAGAAUCAUCAAAAUGUAAUUUUGAAAAGGGGGAAAAAAGAAAAACAAGACAAACAACCCUCCCCUUUUUUAAAGAGUCUCAGUAGGUUAAAAUGUAAUGUAUCCCUAUGAGAAAAGAGGUAUUCUUAACUCUUAAAAACUGUUUUUAUCACCUGCGCAGCUACAAGAGUUACACUUAGAAGGAGGGACAAGACAUAAAUAGGUGAAUAAUUAUAUGCAUUCAUAAAUACAUAUAUAUGUAUAUAUAUAUAUAUCUGUAUUAAUAUAUACAAAUAGAGGUAAAAGGGGGUUAAUACUAAAAAUGGGAAAGGAAACAAAUGGGGGUAAAUUUAUAUGUCACAAAGAAGCUCAUGGCAGGAGGGGAGAGAACAUCAAUACACUGGAAGGGUAAAGAUGUUGGAGAUAGGAAAUAUUCAACUUUUAUGUGCUUUGAAAUUGACCCGAAGAGGGAAGAAGAAUCCAUUCCAUUGGGGCAGAGAAUAGAUUUGCGCCCUAUAGGGUAGCAGAAGUGUAACAAACAGAUUGGUAGGGAGGGAAGCAGUACAAGGGAGGGAGAUGGUGGGGUGGUAAUUUUAGAAAGACUACAGAGAAAAUAAGUGGGGGAAUAAGAAGGGAGAGGGGUAGAAAAGGAAGUAAAAUAAGGGUGGGAACUAAGGGGACUGAUUAACCCAAACAUUGGUGUAAAAGGAAAUAGUGAAAGAAGGAAAGGCAGGACCAGGAGUAGGAAUCAAAAUGCUGGGAAAUACACAUCUAGCAAUCAUAACUCUGAAUCUGAAUGGAAUGAACUCUCCCAUAAAACACAAACAAAUACCAGAGUGGAUUAGAAUCCAAAACCCUAUCAUAUGCUAUCUACAAGAAUUGCACAUGAGGAAGUUAGAUACACAUAGGGUGAAAGUAAGAAGAUGGAGCCAAAUCUAUUGGCCAUCAACUGAUAAAAAGAAGGCAGGAGUCUCAAUAAUGAUAUCUGACAAUUCCAAGGGAAAAAAUAUAGUUAAAAAAGAUAGGGAAGUAAUUACAUCCUGAAAAAAGCAGUAUAGACAAUGAGAAAAUGUCCGUACUGAACAUAUAUGCACCAAAUGGCAUAGCAUCCAAAUUUCUAAAGAAGAAACUAGAGGAACUCAGGGAUGAAAUAUAUAGAAAACUAUAGUAGUAGGAGACCUCUAUUCGAACUAGAUAAAUCAAAACAAAAAAUAAAUAAGAGGUAAGAGAAGUGAAUGAAAUUUUAGAAAAAUUAGAGUUAGACAUGUGGAGAAAAAUAAAUAGGGAAAAAAGGAAUACAUUUUCUUUUCAGCAGCACAUGGCACAUUCACAAAAACUGACCAUGUAUGAGGGCAUAAAAACAUUGCAAACAUGGGCAAAAUAGCAGAAAUAAUAAAUGCAACCUUCUCAGAUCACAAUGCAAUUAAAAUAAAAAUUAGUAAGGGCACAUGGACAGGUAAAUCAAAAAUUAAUUGGAAAUUAAACAAUACAAUUCUCCAAAAUUGAUUAAAGAACAAAUCUUUGAAACAAUUAACUUCACUGAAGAAAAUUACAAUGAUGAGACAUCCUUUUAAAACCUAUGGGAUACAGGCAAAGUAGUACUCAGGGGGAAAUUUAUAUUCUUGAGUUCAUAUAUUAACAAAUUAAGAAGGUCAGAGGUCAAUGAAUUGGGCAUGUAAAUAAAAAAACUAGAAAAAGAACAAAUCAAAAAUCCUCUGAGCAAGACUAAAUUAGAGAUCCUAAAAAUCAAAGGAGAAAUUAAUAAAAUUGAAAGUCAAAGAACUAUUGAUUUAAUAAAUAAGACUAGAAGCUGGUACUUUGAAAAAACAAAUAAAAAAGACAAAGUACUAGUCAGUCUAAUUCAAAAAAGAAAGAAAAAACCAAAUUGACAGUAUUGAAGAUGAAAAGGAGACCUCUCCUCUACUGAAGAGGAAAUUAAGGCUAUCAUUUAAAACUACUAUGCCCAAUUACACGGCAACAAAUAUGGGAAUCUAGGUGAUAUGGAUGAAUACUUACAAAAAUAUAAAUUGCCUAGACUAACAGAGGAAGAAAUAAAUUUUCUAAACAACCCCAUAUCAGAAAAAGAAAUUGAACAAGCUAUCAAAAAACUCCCUUAGAAAACAUCCCCACGUCCAGAUGGAUUCACCAAUGAAUUCAAUCCAACAUUCAAAGAACAACUAAUCCCAAUAUUAUACAAACUAUUUGACAGAAUAAGCCAUGAAGGGGUUUUACCAAAUUCUUUUUAGGACACAAACAUGGUACUGAUCCCAAAGCCAGGCAGAUUAAAAACAGAGAAUGAAAACUAUAGAUCUAUCUCCUUAAUGAAUAUACAUGCAAAAAUCUUAAAUAGGAUACUAGCAAAGAGACUCCAACAAGCCAUGCCAGGUGUUAUUCACUAUGAUCAGGUAGGAUUCAUACAAGGAAUGCAACGAUGGUUCAAUAUUAGGAAAACCAUCUGCAUAAAUGACCAUAUUAACAAGCAAAAAGAAAAAACCACAUGAUUUUCUCAAUAGAUUCAAAAAAGCCUUUCAUAAAAUGUAACACUCAUUCCUAUUGAAAACACUAGAAAGUAUAGGAAUAGAAGGGUCUUUCCUAAAAAUAAUAAACAGUAUAUAUCAAAAACCAUCAGCAAACAUCAUCUGCAAUGGGGAUAAACUAGAAGCCUUCCCAUUCAGAUCAGAGGUGAAACAAGGAUGCCCAUUAUCACCUCUAUUAUUUAACAUUGUACUAGAAACACAGGUAGUAGAAAUUUGAGAAAAACAAAUUGAAUGUAUUAAAAUUGGCAAUGAGGAGGCCAACUUAAUCACUCUUUGCAGAUGAUAUGAUGGUUUAUGUAAAGAAUCCUAGAGAAUCAACCAAAAGUUAGUGAAACAAUCUACAAUUUUAGCCAAGUUUCAGGAUAAAAAAUAAAUCUGCAUAACGCAUCAGCAUUUCUAUAUACCUCCAACCCAUUUCAGCAGCAAGAAUUAGAAAGAGAAAUUCCACUUAAAGUCACCCAAGACAAUAUAAAAUACUUAGGAAUCUAUCUGUUGAGACAAACACAGGAUCAAUAUGAAUACAACUACAAAACACUCUCUACACAAUUAAAUCUAGAUCUAAAGAAUUGGAUAAACAUUGAUUGCUCAUGUGUGGGAUGAGCUAACUUAAUAAAAAUGACCAUCCUACUGUGGGAAGGAAAUCACUUUAAAAGACUGAUAUAUAUUUAAUUUAAGUCGCCAAGAAAUUCAGCUAUGUAAUUCCUAAAUGAAAACUCAAGUCAGCAGUCAAGCUUCUCAGAGCACAACCUCUCCAACCAACCACACUUAGUCCUCAGACCCUGCUAUGUUUAAGGAAACCAUCCAAGUUCCCUCCCCUCAGUUCUCACAUCUACCAAUCACUGUUCAUGUCUUCCCUGUGCCAAUGGUGGCUCUAGCUUAACCCAGGACCGCCCAGAGGUCUCUGGCUUUGCACAUGUCUGUUGAAGGUCAUAUUCUCAAAUAAUUAAAUCUUGAUCCUUUGCUACAGCCCUUCCUAAAUCCUGUUACCCUGAGUAGGGUAGAGAUUGGAAUAAUUAAAUUUUGAUCUAUGCUGCAGCCCUUCCUAAAUCCUGUUACCCUGAGUAGGUUGGAGAUUGGAAUAAUUAAAUUUUGAUCUAUGCUGCAGCCCUUUCCAUUGUUCAGCAAAAGGUUUCUGUCCUAAAGUAAUCUUAAGAAGGGAGGAGGAGGAACCUCCCAUGCCAAUGGGGUUCACAUUCCAAUAGACUAUCAGUAGGAAAUUUUCCAAGUAUGAAAUUUCCCAAUGGUGAAAUUUCCAACAUUUAUAAGUCUAAGAAAUUUUAAGGUUUACACUACCCAAACUAUUUCAUUUCUUUAGUGCUAUACGCAUUGAAGUAUCAAAAAAUGUUUAUACUGAAUUAGAAAAAAAACAUAGUUAAUUUGGAAGAACAAAAUAUCAAGGGUAUGCAGGGAAAUCGUGAAAAAAAUGGAAAGGAAGGAGGACUUGUAGUACCAGAUCUCAAACUAUACUAUAAAGUAACGGUCAUCAAAACAGUUUGUUCCUGUUUAAAAAACAAAAAGGAGUAUCGGUGGAAUAGACUUGGGGUAAGUGACCUCAGCAAGACAGUCUAAGACAAACUCAAAGAUCCCAGUUUUGGGGACAAAACCCCACUAUUUGAUAAAAAAACUGCUGGGAAAAUUGGAAGACAGUAUGGGAGAGAUCAGGUUUGGAUCAACAUCUCACACCCUACACCAAGAUAAACUCAGAAUAGAUGAAUGACAUGAAUACAAAGAAGGAAGCUAUAAGCAAAUGAGGUCUGAUUUUUGGGAAAGGAAAGACUUUAAAACCAAGCCAGAGCUAGAAAAAAAUGGCAAAAUGUAAAAUCACUAAUUUUGAUUACAUCAAAUUAAAUGCUUUUUUUACAAACAAAACUAAUGCAUCCAAAAUUAAAAGGGAAAAAACAAAUUGGGAAACAAUCUUCAUUAUAAAAAAAAGAACAAAAGUCUAAUUACUGAAAUUUAAAAGAGCUAAACCAAUUGUACAAAAAUCAAGCCAUUCUCCAGAUGAUAAAUGGGCAAAGGACAUGAAUAGGCAAUUUUGAGUUAAAGAAAUCAAAAGUAUUAAUAAGCACAUGAAAAAGUGUUCUAAAUCUCUUAUAAUCAGAGAAAUGCAAAUCAAACCAACUCUGAGGUAUCACCUCACACCUAGCAGAUUGGCUAACAUGACAGUAAAGGAAAGUAAUGAAUACUGGAGGGGAUGUGGCUAAGUUGGAACAUUAAUUUGCUGUUGGAGUUGUGAAUUGAUCCAACCAUUCUGGAGGGCAAUUUGGAACUAUGACCAAAGGGCAAUAAAAGACUGUCUGCUCUUUGAUCCAGCCAAAUCACUGUUGGGUUUUUAUCCCAAAGAGACAAUAAAGAAAGAGACAUGUAAAAAAUAUUCAAAGCUACGCUGUUUGUGGUGGCAAAAAAUUGGAAAAUGAGGGGAUGCCCUCCAAUUGUGGAAAGGCUGAACAAAUUGUGGUAUAUGUUGGUGAUGGAUUAUUAUUGUGCUCAAAGGAUUAAUAAAGUGGAAGAAUUCCAUGGGGACUGGAACAAACUCCAGGAACUGAUGCAAAGUGAGAGGAGUAGAACCAGGAAAACACUGUACACUGAGACUGAUGCACUGUGGUACUAUCGAAUAUAAUGGACUUCUCCAUUAGUGGCAAUGCAAUGACCCUGAAUAACUUGGAGGGCCCUAUGAGGAAAAGCACUAUCCACAUCCAGAGGAAAUAGUGGGAGUAAAAACAAUGAAGAAAAACAACUGCUUGAAUACAUGGGUAUAAGGGUAUAGUUGGGGAUGAAGACUAAAUGAACAUCCUAGAGUAAACAAAAACUUGGAAAUAGGUUCUGAAUGAGAACACAAAUAAUACCCAAUGAAAUUACGUGUUGGUUGUGGGAAGAGUGGGUGGAGGGGAGGGAGUGAAAUAAUGUGAUUAUGUUAACCAACGAGUAAUGUUCUAAAUUGAAUAAAUAAAUUAAUUCAAAUGGAAAUAAAAGUCUAAGUUAAAGCAAAACAAACAAACAAACAAACAAACAAAAAAAGCCAAACAGAAGAGUUUCUAUACUAGAGAAGAGCUGUGAGUAAGUUAGUAAAAUAGCCAGAUGUUCACUUUAAGGGAGAUGCAUCACUGAGAAUGUUGGGCUGGUUGCCUGGGAGACCCAGCCCUAGUGCUCAGGUCACAGACACUUGGAAUCUGGAACACAGACUGAAAUCUUCAGUUGGUAGAUGACCCUCAGAGGGGAAGUUGCUUCUCUAUGGUCACACACAGGUCAAUGGCUGGGUAUACAGAAGUCAUUUGAAAUCAACCAUGACUUUACUCAAAUUCAUUUUAGACAGGUGACCUCAUGGGUCCCCCUUGUCACAGUGUUCAACAGAAUCCAAGGGAGCAGUGGCAAACAGAUGAAGACUGGUGACUUCAUGGAUCCUCCUGGUCACAGUGUUCAAGGGAAACCCAGCGAGCAGCAACACUCAGAGGAUAGUGAGUGGGGGACUCCAAAGGUGAUGGAUGGAGGUGAGCUCAUGGAUUCCCCUGGUGAGUGUUUGAGGGAAAUCCAGUGAGCAAAAGCACGCAGAUGAUAGUGAGUGGGUGACUCCAAAGGUGAUGGAUGGAGGUGAGAUCUUCCAAUUCCUCAUCUCCCAUCCAUAUCAAACCUAGUGAGAAGAAAUAGGGAAGUCCCUAUUCCCAAAACCAAAGAAAUACCAGUUAUCGUUCCUAGAAAACAGGCAAAGGGGAUGGCUGCUCAAACAAUCAGAAGCCCACAGAGGUGAUGGAUGGAGCUCCAGCCUCUUAAACUAGAGAACUACAAAGCAGUCUUCUAUUUAUCUGUUCUGAGCCCAUGUCCAAAACAGUCAGUCCUUCCCCAGACUAGCUAGAACCUAUUAGAUGGCUGGCAAGAUUAACCCUGCUGGGACAGGGACCAACAUAGGAGCUUGCAUGUAAUCAGAACCAAACUGAGGAGGUAAUGUAUUCUAGGCAUGGUAGUGGGACUGCGCUUGGGUAGCAAAGGCUAUUGAAAGAUGAAAAACACAUUGGAGCUCCUUUGUGAUGCGCUUCAAAAAGCCAAACAGAAGUUUCUUUAGUAGAGAGUAGUAGUGAGUAGGGAAGAAAAAUGGGCAGAUGUGGACUUUAAGGGAGAUCCAUUACUUAGAAUCUUGAGUUGGUUUCCUGGGAGACCAAGCCCUUGUACUGAGGUCACAGACCCCUGGAAUCUGGGACACACAGUGAAAUCCUCUGUUGGUAGAUGAGGCUGAGAAGGGAAGAGGCUUCCCUAUGCUCACACAGAGGUCCAUGGCUGGGUAUACAGAACACUUUUGAAAUCAAAUUCAUUGUAGACAGAUGACCUCAUGGAUCCCCCUGGUUGCUGUGUUCGAGGGAAACCCAGCAAGCAGCAGCACUCAGAGGACAGUGAGUGGGGGACUCCAAAGGUGAUGGAUGGAGGUGAGAUCUUCCCACUCUUUGCCUCCCCAUCAUAUCAAACCGAGGCAGAAGAAAUAGGGAAGCCCUUGUUCUGAAAACCAAAAUGUUACCUGUUAUUGAUCCUAGCAGCCAGGCCAAAGGGAUGCCUGCUCAAACAAUCAGCAUCCAACAGAGGUAAUGGUUGGAUCUCCAGCCUCCUACCCUAGAGAACUAGAAACCAGUCUUCCACUUAUCUGACUUGAGCCCAAGUCCAAAACAGUUAAUCCUUCCCCAGACUAGAUAGGACUUUUUAUUUGAUGGCUGGAAUAAUUAACCCUUUUGAGACGUAGAUAUUCAUAGAUUCCUUACAUGCAGUCAGAACCAAAGUGAGGAGGCAGAGUAUUUGAGUCAUAGUGGUGGGACUUGGCUUGGGUAGCAAUGGCUAAUAAAGGCUAAAUGAUAAGUUGGGACCCCAUUGUGAGGAGCUUUAAAAAGGCAAAUGGAAGAGUAUCUACACUAGAGAGUAGUUGUAAGGAAGGAAGAAAAAUGGGCAAAUGUGCACUUUAAGGGAGAUCCAUCACUUAGAAUGUUGGUUUGGUUGGCUGGGAGACCUAGCCCUAGUGCUGAGGUCACAGACACUUGGAAUCCUGAACACACCAUGAAACACCCAGUUGGUAGUUGAAGCUGAGAAGUAAAGUGACUUCCCUAUGCUCACACACAGGUCCAUCGCUGGCUAUAUAGCAGUCUUUUGAAAUCCAAUAUGACUUUAAACAAAUUUCUUGUAGACAGGUGCUCUCAUUGAUCUUCCUGGUCACAGUGUUUGAGGGAACCCCAGCAAGCAGCAGCACUCAGAGGAAAGUGAAUGAGGGACUCCAAAUGUGAUGGAUGGAGGUGAGAUCUUCCCACUCCUCUCCUCCCAUCCAUAUCAGACUGAGGGAUAAGAAAUAGGGAAGUCUCUAUUCCCAAAUCUAAAGAAGUACACCUUAUUGAUCCUAGUAGACAGGCCAAAGGGAUGGCUGCUGAAAUAAUCAGUAGCUCACAGAGGUGAUGGAUAGAGCUCCAGCCUCCUAACCUAGAGAACUACAAAGCAGUCUUCUACUUAUCUGUUCUGGGCCCAUGUCCAAAACAGUCAGUCCUUCCCCAGACUAGAUAGGACUUGUUUUUGGAUGACUGGCAGGAUUAACCCUGCUGAGACCUGCACCUACAUAGGAUCUUUCCAUGCAGUCAGACACAAAGUGAGGAGUGAUCAUAAUGAGGCCCCGGUGGUGUGUAGCAAUGUCAAAUGAAGGCUGAAAAAUAAGUUGGGAACCAGUUGCAAGGUUCCUUAAAAGCAAAAUAGAAGAGUCUCUAUCCUAGAGACCAUAGUUAUGAGUAAGGAUUUAAAAUGGGCAGAUUUGCAGUUUAAGGGAGAUCUAUAACAUAGAAUGUUGUGUUGGUUGCCUGAGAGGCCAAGCCCUAGUGCUGACGUCAUAGACACUUGGAAUCUAGAACACACCAUGAAACCUUCAGUUGGUAGAUGAGGCUGACAGUGGAUGUGGCAUCCUUAUGCUCACACACAGGUCCAUGGCUGGGUAUAUAGAAGUCUUUUAAAAUCAAACAUGACUAUAAUCAAAUUCCUUGUAGACAGGUGAACUUGUGGAUCAACAUGGUCACAGUGUUCAAGAGAACCCCAGCAGGCAGCAAUACUCAGAGGACAGUGAAUUGAGGAUUCCAAAGGUGAUGGAAGGGGCUGAAAUUUCCCCACUCUUCUCUUCAUAUCAAACAGAGGAGGAAGAAAUUGGGAAGUCCCUGUUCCCAAAUCCAAAGAAGUACCACUUAUUGAUCCUAGCAGAUAGGUCAAAGGGAUGGCUGCUCAACAAUCAGCAUCCCACAGAUGUGAUGGAAGGAGCACUAGCCUCCUAACCUAAAGAACUAGAAACCAGUCCUCCACUUAACUGUACUGAGCCGGUGUCCAAAACAGUCUGUCCUUCCCCAGACUAGAUAGAACCUGCUAUUUGAUGGUUGGCAGGAUUAAUCCUGCUGUGACCGGGAUCUAUAUAGAACCUUGCAUGCAAUUAGAAUGAACCUGAGGAGGUAAUGUAUUCUAGGCAUGGUGGUGGGACUGGACUUGGGUAGCAAAGGCUAAUGAAGGCGGAAAGACAAGUUGGGACCUCUUUGUGAGGUGCUUUAAAAACCCAAUCAGGAGGACUUGCAGGUAAACAUAUCUGCAAUCUAUACAUGAAUUGCUUCCUCUCCCCUGACACAGAAUGAAAUAGACCACCUCAAAAGAGCAUAAAAAUCAUCCUUGGAAGAACGGAGUAACUCUCCAGAUGGCCACAGCAACGAAGGUACUUGGGUUUAGAACAUUUCCACACUAUGAGAAGGAGAAAAAGCCUGCACAAAAUCAUGAACUGAGCUGCCAUCCCCCACAUCCCCCAAGGACCAGAGUAGGGGCCAGCACGCUCACUGGAGACAGCUAGUGAGUGAGGAGUGUCUCUGGGGGGGGGGGACACCAUGGUCCUUGGGAUCUAACAAGGACUGCCAAGGAACUACCCCUCAGGGCGGUUUCACUGAAGAACUCUGUGCACUAGACAUGGAGCAGACAGAGGGAGCCCUUGCAAAAUGCGAACACUGUGGAGACCCUAGAAACUGUAGAAACUGCCUGAGGCCAAAGCUCCGCUCCUCGCUGUAGUGAGGGGGGGCACGCCAGGGUCCUUGGAAACUGACAGAGGCUACCAGGAAACUACUCCUCAGAGCGGUAUUACAGGAGACUCCUGCACAAAAGAGAGAAGAGACCACAGAGCAUGAGGGCUGGCUGGCAAUAAACCACAGAGUCAGGGAAGAACCAGCCUGGGGCAAAAAACAUUGCCACUUAAAUCCACAGAAAAACUGCCCAUAACACAAGACCUCUGACAAUCCAUUGCAUUGGGAAAGUGAAUAGAUUUGUGCCCUAUAGGGUAGUAGAAGGGUAACAAACAGAUUGGUGGGGAGGAAAGCAGUACAAGGGAGGGAGAUGGUGGGGUGGUAAUUUUAGAAAGACUACAGAGAAAAUAAGUGGGGGAAUAAGAAGGGAGAGGGGUAGAAAAGGAAGUAAAAUAAGGGUGGGAACUAAGGGGACUGAUUAACCCAAACAUUGGUGUAAAAGGAAAUAGUGAAAGAAGGAAAGGCAGGACCAGGAGUAGGAAUCAAAAUGCUGGGAAAUACAUAGUAAUCAUAACUCUGAAUGUGAAUGCAAUGAACUCACCCAUAAAACACAAGCAAAUAGAAGAGUGGAUAAGAAUCCAAAACUCUACCAUACAGUGUCUACAAGAAACACACAUGAGUAAUGUAGAUACUCAUAGGGUGAAAGUAAGAUGAUGGAGCCAAAUCUAUUGGGCGUCAACUGAUAAAAAGAAGGCAGGAGUCGCAAUCAUGAUAUCUGACAAAGGCAACGGAAAAACAGAUCUAGUUAAAAGAGAUAGGGAAGGUAAUUACAUCCUGAAAAAAGGCAGUAUAGAUAAUGAGGAAAUGUCCGUACUCAACAUGUAUGCACCAAAUGGCAUAGUAUCCAAAUUUCUUAAGGAGAAACUAGUGGAACUCAAGGAUGAAAUAGAUAGAAAAAUUAUACUAGUUUCCUCUAUCUGAACUAGAUGAAUCAAGCCAAAAAAAUAAAUCAGAAAGAGAUAAGAGAUGUGAAUGAAAUCUUGGAAAAAUUAGAGUCAGUAGACAUGUGGAGAAAAAUAAAUAGGGACAAAAAGGAAUACACCUCAUCAGCAGCACAUGGCACAUUCACAAAAAUUGACCAUGUAUUAGGGCAUAAAAACAUUGGAAAACUGCAGAAAUAAUAAAUGCAACCUUCUCAGAUCACAAUGCAAUGAAAAUAAGAAUUAGUAAGGGAUCAUGGAGAGGUAAAUCAAAAAUUAAUUGGAAACUAAACAAUACAAUUCUCAAAAACCGAUUAAAGAACAAAUCGUUGCAACAAUUAAUAACUUCAUUUAAGAAAAAGAAAAUGAUGAGAAAUCCUUUUAAAACCUAUGGGAUACAGCCAAAGAAGUACUCAGGGGAUAAUUUAUAUUAUUGAAUUUAUAUAUUAACAAAUUAAGAAGGGCAGAGGUCAAUGAAUUAGGCAUACAAAUAAAAAAAAUUAGAAAGUGAACAAAUUAAAAAUCCUCUGAUGAAGACUAAAUUAGAGAUCCUAAAAAUCAAAGGAUAAAUUAAUAGAAUUGAAAGUCAAAGAACUAUUGAUUUAAUAAAUAAGACUAGAAGCUGGUACUUUGAAAAAAACAAAUAAAAGAGACAAAGUACUAGUCAGUCUGAUUUAAAUAAGGAAAGAAAAAAACCAAAUUGACAGUAUCAAAGACAAAAAGGGAGACUUCUCCUCUAUUGAAGAGGAAAUUAAGGCAAUCAUUUAAAACUACUAUGCCCAAUUACACGGCAACAAAUAUGAGAAUCUAGGUGAUAUGGGUGAAUACUUACAAAAAUAUAAAUUGCCUAGACUAACAGAGGAAGAAAUAAAUUUCCUAAACAAUCCCAUAUGAGAAAAAGAAAUUGAACAAGCUAUCAAAAAACUCCCUUAGAAAAAAUCGCCACGUCCAGAUAGAUUCACCAAUGAAUUCAAUCAAACAUUCAAAGGACAACUAAUCCUAAUAUUAUACAAACUAUUUGACAAUAAGCAAAGAAGGAGUUCUACCAAAUUCAUUUUAUGACACAAACAUGGUACUGAUCCCAAAGCCAGGCAGGUCAAAAACAGAGAAAGAAAACUAUAAACCAAUCUUCUUAAUGAAUAGAGAUGCAAACAUCUUAAAUAGGAUACUAGCAAAAAGUGUCCAGCAAGCCAUACCAAGGGUUAUUCACUAUGACCAGGUAGGAUUCAUACCAGGAAUGCAAGGAUGGAUCAUUAUUAGGAAAACCAUGCACAUAAUUGACCAUAUUAACAAGCAAACUGAAAAAAAAAACAGAUGAUUAUCUCAAUAGAUCCAGAAAAAGCCUUUAAUGAAAUGGAACACCCAUUCCUAUUGAAAACACUAGAAAGUAUAGGAAUAGAAGGGUCUCUCCUAAAAAUAAUAAAUAGCAUAUAUCUAAAACCAUCAGCAAACAUCAUCUGCAAUGGGGAUAAACUAGAAGCCUUCCCAAUCAGAUCAGAGGUGAAACAAGGAUGCCCAUUAUCACCUCUAUUAUUUAACAUUGUACUAGAAACACUAGCAGUAGCAAUUAGAGAAGAAAAAGAAAUUGAAGGUAUUAAAAUUGGCAAUGAGGAGACCCACUUAAUCAAUCUUGGCGGAUGAUAUGAUGGUUUACUUAAAGAAUCCUAGAGAAUCAAACAAAAAGCUAGUCGAAACAUUUUUAGCCAAGUUUCAGGAUACAAAAUGAACCUGCAUAAGUCAUCAACAUUUCUAUAUAUUUCCAACACAGCUCAGCAUCAAGAAUUAAAAAGAGAAAUUCCACUUAAAAUCACCCUAGACAAUAUAAAAUACUUAGGAAUCUAUCUGUCGAGACAAACACAGGAUCUAUAUGAAUACAACUACAAAACACUCUCCACACACACACACACAAAAACUAAACAAUUGGAAAACCAUUGACUGCACAUGAGUGGAACAAGCUAACAUAAUUAAAAUGACAAUACUACACAAAUUCCCUUAUUUAGUGCUAUACCCAUUGAACUACCAAAAAACUUUCUUUUCUGAGUUAGAAAAAAACAUGAAGUUCAUUUGGAAGGGGAAAAAAAGGAUAUCUAGGGAAAUCAUGAAAAAAAUGCACAAGAAGGAGGACUUGCAGGACCAGAUAUCAAACUAUACUAUAAAGCAGCUGUCAUCAAAACAGUUUGGUCUUGGCUAAAAGAAAGGAGGAUCAGUUCAAUAGACUUGGUGUAAAUGACCUCAGCCAGACAGUCUAUGCUAAACCCAAAGAUCCCAGUUUUGGGGACCAAACUCCACUAUUUAAUAAAAACUGCUGGGAAAAUUGGAAGACAGUAUAGGAGAGAUUAGGUUUGGAUCAACAUCUCACACACUACACCAAGAUAAACUCAGAAUGGGUACAUGACCUGAAUACAAAGAAAGAAAUUAUAAGCAAAUUAGGUGAACAUAGAAUAGUUCACAUGUCAUAUCUUUGGGAAAGGAAAGGCUUCAAAACCAAGCAAGAGCUUGAAAAAAAUGACAAAAUAUAAAAACACUAAUUUUGAUUACAUUAAAUUAAAAAAAUUUAAAAACAAAAUUAAUGCGUCCAAAAUUAUAAAGGAAGAAACAAAUUGGGAAAGAAUCCUCAUUAUAAAAGUAAGAACAAAGGUCAGAACAAAGGUCUAAUUACUCAAAUUUAUUAAGAGCUAUAUCAGUUCUAUAAAAACUCAAGCCAUUCUUCAAUUGAUAAAUGGGCAAGGGACUUGAAUAGGAAAUUUUCAGUUAAAGAAAUCAAAAGUAUUAAUAAGUACAUGAAAAAGUGUUCUAAAUCUCUUAUAAUCAGAGAAAUGCAAAUCAAAACAACUCUGAGGUAUCACCUCACACCUAGCAGAUUGGCUAACAUGACAGCAAAGGAAAGUAAAGAAUGCUGCAGGGGAUGUGGCAAAGUCAGGACAUUAAUUCAUUGCUGGUGGAGUUGUGAAUUGAUCCAACCAUUCUGGAGGGCAAUUUGGAACUAUGUCCAAAGGGCGAUAAAAGACUGCCCUUUAAUCCAUCCAUAGCACUGCUGGGUUUGUACCCCAAAGAGACAAUAAAGAAGAAGACACGUAAAAAAUAUUCAUAGCUGUGCACUUAGUGGUGGCAAAAAAUUGGAAAAUGAGGGGAUGCCCUUCAAUUGGGGAAUGGCUGAUCAAAUUGUGGUAUAUUUUAGUGAUGGAAUAUUAUUGUGCUCAAAGGAAUAAUAAAGUGGAGGAAUUCCAUGGGGACUGGAACAACCUCCAGGAAGUGAUGCAGAGCGAGAGGAGCAAAACCAGGAAAACACUGUACUCAGAGACUGAAACACUGUGGUACAAUCACAUGUAAUGGACUUCUCCAUUAGUGGCAGUAUAAUGACCCUGAAUAACUUGGUGGUAUCUAUGAGGAAAACCACUAUCCACAUACAGAAGACAUUUGAAAUCAAACAUGACGUUACUCAAAUUCUUGUAGACAGGUGAUCUCAUGGAACCCUCUGGUCACAGUGUUCUAUAGAAACCCAGGGAGCAGCAGCACAUAGAGAAAGGUGAGUGGGGGGUCUUCAAGGUGAUUGAUGGAUGUGAGAUCUUCCAACUCCCCUCCUCCCAUCCAUAUCAAAACGAGGGAGAAGAAAUUUGGAAGUUCCUGUUCCCAAAUCCAAAGAAGUACCAUUAUUGAUCCUACCAGACAGGACAGAGGGAUAAAUGCUCAAACAAUCAGCAGCCCACAGAGGUGAUGGAUGGAACUCCAGUAACCUAAACAAGAGAACUAGAAACCAGUCCGGCACUAAUCUGUCCUGAGCCCACAUCCAAAACAUUCAGUUCUUCCCCAGACUAGAUAGGACUUGUUAUUUGAUGGCUGACAGAAUUAAUCCUGUUGGGACGUUGACGUUCAUAGGGUCCUAACAUGCAGUCAGAACCAAAGUGAGGAGGCAGGGUAAUUGAGACAUAGUGGUGGGAUUCGGCUUGCUUUACAAUGGCUAAGGAAGACUGAAAGAUAAGUUGUUGCCGCAUUCAGAGGCACUUUAAAAAGCCAAACAGAAGGGUUUCUAAACUAGAGAGUAGUUGUGAGUAAGGAAAUAAAAUGGGCAGAUGGGCACUUUAAGGGAGUCCCAUCACUUCGAAUGUUUGGCUGGUUGUCUGGGAGACCCAGCCCUAGUGCUGAGGUCAUAGACCCUGGGAAUCUGGAAGACACAGUGAAACCUUCAGUUGGUAGAUGAGGCUCAUAGGGGAUGUGGCUUCCCCGUGCUCACACACAGGUCCAUGGCUGGGUAUACAGAAGACAUUUGUAUUCAUAAAUGACUUUACUCAAGUUCCUUGUUGACAGGUGACCUCAUGGAUCCCCAUGGUUGCAAUGUUUGAGGGAAACCCAGUGAGCAGCAGCACUCAGAGGAUAGUGAGUGGGGGACUCCAAAGGUGAUGGAUGGAGGUGACCUCAUGGAUCCCCCUGGUCACAGUGUUCAAGGGAAACCCAUUGAGCAGCAGCACUCAGAGGAUAGUUAGUGGGGGACUCCAAAGGUGAUGGAUGAAGACAGGUGACCUCAUGGAUACCCCUGGUGACUGUGUUCUAUAGAAACCCAGCCAGUAGUGACACUCAGAGAAAGGUGACCUCAUGGAUCCCCAUGGUUGCAAUGUUUGAGGGAAACCCAGUGAGCAGCAGCACUCAGAGGAUAGUGAGUGGGGGACUCCAAAGGUGAUGGAUGGAGGUGACCUCAUGGAUCCCCCUGGUCACAGUGUUCAAGGGAAACCCAUUGAGCAGCAGCACUCAGAGGAUAGUUAGUGGGGGACUCCAAAGGUGAUGGAUGAAGACAGGUGACCUCAUGGAUACCCCUGGUGACUGUGUUCUAUAGAAACCCAGCCAGUAGUGACACUCAGAGAAAGGUGACCUCAUGGAUCCCCCUGGUCACAGUGUUCAAGGGAAACCCAUUGAGCAGCAGCACUCAGAGGAUAGUUAGUGGGAGACACCAAAGGUAAUGGAUGGAGACAGGUGACCUCAUGGAUCCCCCUGGUCACUGUAUUCUAGAGAAACCCAGCGAGUAGUGACACUCAGAGAAAGGUGAGUGGGGGACUCCAAGGUGAUGGAUUGAGGUGAGAUCUCCAACUCCUCUCCUCCCAUCCAUAUCAAACCAAGGGAGAGCAAUAGGGAAGUUUCUGUUCCCAAAUCCAAAGAAGUAUCAGUUAUUGAUCCUAACAGACAGGCCAAAGGGAUGGCUGCUCAAAAAAUCAGCAGCCCAAAGCGGUGAUGGAUGGACCUCCAGCCUCCUAACCUAGAGAACUAGAAACAAGUCUUGUACUUAUCUCUCCUGAGCCCAUGUUUAUGAGUCCUUCCCCAGACUAGAUGGGACUUGUUAUUUGAUAGCUGGCAGAAUUAACCCUGUUGGGACGUAGACCUCCAUAGGGUCCUUAAUGCAGUCAGAACCAAAGUGAGGAGGCAGAGUAUUCAAGGCAUAGUGGUGGGACUGGGUUUGGGUAGCAAUGGCUAAUGAAGGCUGAAAGAUGAGUAGGAACCCCAUUAUAGGGAGCUUUAAAAAGCCAAACAGAAGAGUUUCUAUACUAGAGAGUAGUUGUGAGUAAGGAAAUAAAAUGUGCCAAUGGGCACUUUAAGGGAGAUUCAUCACUUAGAAUGUUGGGCUGGUUGCCUGGGAGACCCAGACCUAGUGCCCAGGUCACAGACCCUUGGAAUCUGGACACACAGUGAAACCCUCAGUUGGUAGAUGAUGCUGAGAAGGGAAGUGGCCUCCCUAUGCUCACACACAGGUCCAUGGCUGGUUAUACAGAAGACUUUUGAAAUCAAACAUGACUUUACUUACUCAAGUUCCUUGUUGACAGGUGACCUCAUGGAUCCCCCUGGUCACAGUGUUCAAGGGAAACCCAUUGAGCAGCAGCACUCAGAGGAUAGUUAGUGGGGGACUCCAAAGGUGAUGGAUGAAGACAGGUGAUCUCGUGGAUCCUCCUGGUCAUAGUGUUUGAGAGAAUCGCAGCGAGUAGUGACACUCAGAGAAAGAUGAGUGGGGGACUCCAAAGGUGAUGGAUGGAGGUAAUGGAGAAUGUUCUCUGAGUACAGAAAUUCCAUCAGUUCCCCCCCCAAGACUAAGUGACUAUGUAUGUCCUGUUACUCUCCAAUGAUCAAUUCAUUAUUCGGUUUCCAAUGAGAAAGAGACCCAGAAAAGAUUCAGAAGGAGUCAGCAAAAAGCCUUGCUUCCUACAAGAGUUCCUGAUUUGGAUAGAGAAACAGCACAUAUGGGAACAAAGAACCUCCGACUAUGGACAGAGAUCACAGUGCAUUUGUAGGAUGGUCAGGUUUUGUGGAUACUACACACUUUGAUGUCCUCUGACCUAUCAAACCUAUCCCUUUUAGUCUCCCUUGCUGGAUCCUCAUCCAGAUCAUGCCCUCUAACUGUAAGUAUCCCACAGAGUUCUGUCCUGGGACCUCUUCUCCUUCUAUACUACUUCACUUGGUGAUUUCAUCAUCUCCCAUGGAUUUCAUUCCAUCUCUAUGCUAAUGAUUUUUAAAUCUUCUUAUCCCACUCUAAAGUCUCUGCUGAGAUCCAGCCUCACAGUUGCAAUGGCUUUUAAGACAUCUCAAACUGGAUGUCCAGUGCACAUCUUAAACUCAACAUGUCCACACUUACUAUCUUUACUCUAACCCUCCCCUUUCUAAACUUAUUAUGGUCUAGGUCCAUGGUGGUGAACCAAUGGCAUAUGUGGCUGAGGAAGCACUCAGUGGGCAUGAGAGCUGUCACCCCAUCACAGAGUUCACCAGAUUUUGUUACUAGAAAACCAGAGAGAUGAGGGGCAGGGCUUCUCACCUACCCCUCUCCACAGGCACCUGUGGACAUUUCUUAGAUCACCCCCCUUUUAAUAGGUUCACCAUCACUGGACUCUGGGAUAACACAAUCUUCCCAUUCCCUUAGGUAUCAUCUUUGACUCUCUCACACCCCAUGUCUGACCUAUUGAUUUCACCUUUGGGGCAUCACUUCGAAUGCUCCCUUACCUCUUCUGGUACUGCCAACACCUUGGUACAGGCUCUCAUCACAUCACACCUUGACUAUUGAAAUAACCUGAAGAUUUUGCUGGUAAUUCACUCCCCACUCUAAUCCAUAUUUCAUUCAGUGACCCAAGUGAUCUUCCUAAAGCACCAGUCUGACCAUGACACCAUCCUCCUCAGUAAACUCCAAUGUCUCCCUUUUAUCUCCAGGAUCAAAUACAAAAUUCCUCUUUUGGCAUUCAAAACCCUUUAUAAUCUAGUAAUACCUUACCUUUCCAGACUUCUAGUACCUUAGUCCUAACUACAUACUAUUUUAUUCAAUGACAUGGACCCCUUUGAUGUUCCAUCAAUAAGGCAUUCCAUCUCUCAGCUCUGGGCACUUGCUUUGAUUGUCCCCCAUGCCUAGAACCCUCUUGUUCUUCAUUUAUAUCUAAUGGCUUCCUUACUUUCUUUUAAAUCCCAAUUCCAAUUCCAUCUUCCACAGGAAGCAUUUAUCAGCUCUUUUAAAAUUCAAUGCCUAAGUGGAGCUAAAAUGGCAACUUAGAAGCACCAAAAGCUCAAUCUUUCUCAGACAAUCCUUUUAUAUCAAUAUUUAUCAUAUGCUUCAGACAACAGAAACCUGAAUCCAACAAGGACAGUAGGACAUGGGACUCUCCUAUGGAAAAUAUCUUAAAAGGUGAGCACAGAGAGGCUAUUUUCAUGGGAUAAAGGACAGAAGGGCAGGUUGAAUACCCUCCCCCACCCAUAACUACUGAUCUGUGUGAUCAGAUAAGACGGACAGUCUGUGAUUGCCCAGGUUAGAGACUGCAGCUCUGAAAGAAAAAAGGUUUGUCUCUGACUCAUCACACAAGAGCCAGGUAAUAGCUGGUAGAGGGGAACUUGGGGUGGGGCUAUAGGGAGGGACACCCUCACCCACCCAUCUCACUGAGAUCUGCAAUCAUACCUGGCUUCUGAGUGAGUCCCAGGUAGAGCACAGUGAAGAAUAUGACCUGGGGCAGGCUAGCCCAGUAGGCUAGCAAAGUUGGUUAAAUACCAGCAGAGGAUUGAGAAAAGAGAAGAUUUGGCCUUUGGGCAUAGCAGCCCAAACACUCUGAUACAGAAAACCAGCAAAGGGGCAAGAUAAUACUCCAUAGCCUGAGAAAAAUAAACAAAUAAAAAUAAAUAAAAUGAUUAAACAAGAGAAAAAGAAAAAAAGUCACAGUCAAAAGCUUCAAUGGGAGUAAGGAUCAAAUGGAAGAGCCUGAGAACCAAGGAACAUAAAGCAAAGCCUCAAAAAAAUCAGGGAGCUAGAUGCAGGCUUUGGAGAAGCUCAAAAAAUAAUUAAAAAAUCAAAUAAGACAGGCUGAAAUAGCAAAAUAAAAAUAGACUAAAAAGCAAAAUAAGUCAUCUGGAAACAAAGGCACAGGCACUGAAAGCUGGAACUGACCUGCUGGAAAAUAGGGAAAAAAGAAUGGAAGAAGAGAAAAAUGACUUGAAAGAAAGACUGGACCAAAAAGAAAAGGAAGAUUAAAAGGUUGUGGAAGAAUUUCAGUCUCUAAAAACUAGACAGAAUUGGACAAUUAGAAACUAAUGACUUCACAAAACAAGCAAUAGAACAAAAUCAAAAGAAUAAAAAAUUAAAAAUGAUAUAAGAUGCCUCACUGAGAAAAUAACUGACCUUAAAAAUAGAUCCAGGAGAGGCAAUUUAAGAAUUAUUGGGCUACUUGAAAAUCAUGACCAAAGGAAAAGCCUAUACAUUAUUCUACAAGAAAUUAUACAAAAAACCUGCCCUGAUAUUCUUGAACAAGAGGGUAAAAAAGAGAUAGAAAGAAUCCACAGAUUACCCCUUGUAUUAAAUCCCCAAAUGACAACAACCAGGAAUGUUAUAGCCAAGCUCAAGAGUUUCCAGAUCAAGGGGAAAAUAUAACAAACUGCUAGAAAGAAACAAUUCAGAUAUCACAGAACCUCAGUCAGGAUUACACAGGACCUAGCUACAUCUACACCGAAGGACUAGAAGGCAUGGAAUAUGAUAUUCCAGAAGGCAAGGGAAUUGGAUCUACAACCAAGAAUCAACUACCCAGGAAAAUUUAUUAUAUUCUCUCAGGGGGAAGAAUGGUCAUUUAAUAAAAUAGAUUUCCAAGCAUUCCUAAAAAUAUAGACUUAAACAUAAAAGUUGAUGCCCAAAUAUAGAACUCAAGAGAAUCACAAAAAGGUAAAUCAGGAAGAAAAAAAAUUAAGGGACUCAAUAAGGUCAAAUAGCAUGUAUUGUUAUAUAAAAAGAUGAUAUCUAUAACUCUUAAAAUUAUUAUCAUCAUCAUAGUAGCUAGAAGAAGUAUACAUAGAAGGUAUAGUGGUAAACUAUAUGAGGAUGAUAUGUAUAUUAAAAACUAUGAGUGAAAAGAGGAUAAUAUUAAAAAUAGAAAAAGGGGAAAAGAGGAUGAAAUACAUUUCAUAAAGAAGCACACAGAGUAGGGGUGGGGAAGAAGACCAAUAUAAUGGAAGGGAGGAAGAGGUCGUAGACAUAAUACUUAAAUCUUUUACUCAUUGGAAUUGACCCAGAGAUGGAAGAACACUCAGAUCCAUUGGGGCAUAGAAUUAUAUCUUGCAUUAUAGAGAAGUAAAAGGAUAAUGAGAAAUGGGAUGGUGGGGAGAGAGCAAUGCAAAAUAGGGAGAGGUUGGGGGCAUUCAAAGGGCCCUAUAGUAAGAAGGGAGUAAUAAGAAGGGAGGGGGAGGAAGGAGAGUAAUAUUAGGGAGAGGAAAGGGAAGAGGCUGACUAAAAGUAAAAUGCUGGAGGAGAGAGUAAAAGGGAUAAGAGAAAAGGUAGGAUUAAAGGAAGAGGUCAAAAUGGAAGGGAAUACACUGAUGGUAAUCAUAACUGUGAAUGUGACUAGGAUGAACUCACUUACAAAAUGGAAACAGAUAGCAGAAUGGAUUAAAAACCAGAAUACUAGCAUACAUUGUCUACAAGAAGCACACUUCAUGCAGGUAGACAUACAUAAUGGAAAGGUAAGAGGUUAGAGCAGAAUUUACUGGGCUGCAACUGAGACAAAGAAGGCAGGAGUAGCAAUCAUGAUCUCAGAUAAAGCUAAAGUAAAAAUAGAUUUGAUUAAAAAAGAUAAAGGACUCCUAACCAAGAGCAAAAUAUUGCCACAAAGCAAAUACAGAAGUGAAAGAACCAACAAAGAGACUGAGUGAAAAAAACUUUAAAAAAAAGGCUCAAAAGGUAGGCAGAGACCAUCUGGGGAAUUGAAGUGAGAAGGGAACAGAGCCAGCAAGAGACUAUAACAAGGAGUGAAGAGCAAACUAUAACCCCUGCCACCCACCCACCCACCCUGCAUAUGCUGUCACAGGUUCCAAACAUAAGCCCAAAUUAACAUUCAGACUUGAGACCUCCAUGGGCCAAUAGUGGUCCAAGCCAAUUCAUACCCCACUGAAAUUUUAAAACUGUAGAGACAUCUGGAGGGGGUUGAUAAUUGUGGGCCCAGAGAAAAGUCAGGAAUCCCAGUCUGGGCUGGGGAUGAGGACAUAAUCCAUGGUUUGUGGUAAGGACACAGUUCUCAGGGGGAGUCCUCCCUCCCAAUAUCUUUUCCCCAAAACUAAGGGUAGACCUCCAGGACAGGGCAAUUAAAUGUGUGCUUGACUGAAUCAAGAACACAAUGAGACCAAAACCAUAAGCCUAAGCCUGGGGCUUGAAUUUGACCAGCCCUUGACCAGAUCAAGUUCACAGUAAGAUAAAAAGCUUACACCUAAGCCUGAGGAAAGUUUUUAAGGUACCAGCAUCUCAAAGGGCAAUUGAAUGAGCAGGGGGAGUGGGCUCUCAGAGCUCUUAGCUCUCAGACCAUCUGAUAAACUAGUAACAAACCAGAAAACAAGCUAAAAAUAAUAUCAAGGAAUGACUGAAGUUGAAGAGGGUAUCUCAACUUCCUAGAAAACAGUCUACCUAUAAUUAGAUAGGAAAAAUAAGCAAACAAAAAACACCUAACUCCAAAGAAUUUUUCAUGGAGACAAAGAGCAAGGUACAGACACAGAAAGGGACAGUAAAAAGGAAAGGAAAUGCAUGCAAAGUCCAAAAGAAAAAAUGGAUGUGACACAAAUUCUCGAAGACCUCAAAAAAGACUUCAAAAACCAAUUAAGAGAUGUAGAGGAAAAGUGGGGAAGAAAAAUGAAAGUGAUGCAAGAAGAAAGGAAAGUGCUACAAGGUGAAUAGAAAGUGAUGCAAGGAGAAAUGGACAAAUUGAAAAAAGAAGAACCAAAAACUGACAGAGGAAAAUCAUGUCUUAAAAAUCAUUAUUGACCAUCUAGAAACUAAUGACUUCAUGAGAAAUCAAGAAACAAAAGCAGAAUCAAAGAAAUGAAUAAACAGAGGAAAACAUGAAUUAUCUCACUGAAAAAAAUAAAUGACCUAGAAAAUAGAUCUAGGAGAGACGAUUUGAGAAUUACUGGACUACCAGAAAGUCAUGAUCAAAAAAAAAAAACCCUGAGACAUCACACUAUAAGAAUUUAUCAAAGAAAACUUCCCAGAGAUCCUCAAACAAGAAAAUAAAAUUAAAAUAGAAUUCAAAUGACAGUUUCCAGGAAUAAAAUAGUUAAAUUCAAGAGCCACCAAGUUAAGGAAAAAAUACUUGAAGCAGCCAGAAAGAAACCAUUCAAAUAACACAGAGCUACAAUCAGGAUCACACAGGGCUUGGCAGCUUCUACAUUAAAAUAUUGUAAAGCAUGGAUUGUGAUAUUCAGGGUUGCAAAAGAUUUGGGUUUACAUCCCAGAGUCACCUAUCCAGCAAAACUGAGUAUAUUCUUUCAGGGGAAAAUAUGGUCAUUCAAUAAGAUUAUCAAAGAUUUCCAAGCAUUCCUGAGGAAUAAGUCAGACCUAAACAAAAAUUUGAAGUCCAAAACCUGAAACACAAGAGAAGCCCAAAAAGGUAAAUAAGAAAGAGAAAAUUUAAGGAACUCAUUAAGAUUAAAAUGUUUAUAUGUCUACAUGGAAAGAGUAUUUCUGUAAUUCUCAAAAAUUAUUCUUAGUAGUUGAGAAGAUAGAAGGAAUUUACUCACAAAGAGGGUGGAUAAUUAGCUGAUUAUGAUGAUAUGAUGUAUAUGAAGAUAUGAUAUAUAUGUAAAUGUGAUGAUUGAAAUUAUAAGUAUGAUAUUAUAUGUAUGCAUAUGAAUGGUAUGUAAAAAAUCAGUAAAGGGCUGAAAUAGAGGGUUGCACCAAAGAUGCAUGAAAAAUCAUUACAGAGAGGGGAGGACAAAGGGUGAUGAUAGGCAAUGCUUAAACUUAACUUUCAUUGUAACUGACUGCAGAGGGAAAAACUAGUAUACUCAGUGGGUUAUAGAAUUCUUUCAACCUACAGAGAAGUUGAAGAGGAACAAGAAAAAUAAAGGGGAGGAUAAUUAAAGGGAGGUGUAGGUGUAUGUGUGUGUGUGUGUGUGUGUGUGUGUGUGUGAAAAAAGCAAAUACUGGUGAGGAGGAAUAGAGUGAAAGGGAAUAGAGUACAAUCUAAAGGGGAUAAUAUGAUGGAGGUAAAUACACAGUAAUCAUAACACUGAAUGUGAAUGGGACGAACUUAUCCAUUAAAUGGAAGCAGACAGAAGAGUGGAUUAAAAACCAAAAUAUUACUAUAUAUUGUUUACAAGAAACACAUUUGAGGCAAGGUGACACACAAAGAUUCAAGGUAAAAUGCUAGAGCAGAAUUUAUUAUGCAUCAUCUAAACUAAAAAAAAAAAGCAAGAGUAACAGUCAUGAUACCCAGAGUCAAAGUAGAAAUUGAUUUGAUUAAAAGAGAUAAGGAAGGAAAUUAUAUUUUGCUAAAGGGUACUAAACACAAUGAAGUAAUAUCGUUACUAAUCAUUUAUGAACCAAAUGGUAUAGCAUCUAGAUUUCUAAAGUAAAAGUUAAAGGAGCUCAAGGAGGAAAUAGAUAGUAAGACCAUACUAGUGGGGGGUCUCAACCUUUCCCUAUAAGAACUAGAUAAAUCAAACCAAAAAAUAAGAAAGAAGUAUAUGAAAUGCUAGAAAAAUUAUAACUAAUAGCUAUCUGGAGAAAACUGAACAGGAAUAAAAAGGAAUAUAACUUCUCAUCAGUACAUGGUAUAUAUACAAAGACUGACUAUGUAGUAGGGCUUAGAUAUAUUGCAAAAAAUGCAGAAAAGCAGAAAUAAUAAAUGCAACUUUUUCAGAUCAUAAUGUGAUAAAAAUUAUAGUUAAUAAGGCUCCAUAGAAAGGCACAUUGAAAAUUAAUUGAAAACUAAAUAAUCUAAUUCUUCAAAACUGGUGGGUCAAAGAAGAAAUAAUAGAAACCAUUAUGGGCUUCAUUAAAAAGAAUGACAAUGAGGCAACAACAUAUCAAAACCUAUGGGAUACAGCUAAAGCAGGACUCAGGGGAAUUUUUAUAUUGCUGAGUCCCUUUAAUAAAAAUUGAAAGGAAGGAUAUGAAUGAUUUGGUCUUGCAACUUAAAAAAUUAGAAAAAAGAACAAAUUAAAAAUCCCCAGGUGAAAACUAAAUUGGAAAUCCUAAAAAUUAAAGGAAAAAUUAAUCAAAUUGAAAGUAAAAAAAAAUUAUUGAACUAAUAAAUAAGACUAGGAGCUGGUACUUUGAAAAAAGUACUGGUUAAUCUAAUAAAAAAGAAAGAAAAGAAUCAAAGUAACAGUAUCAAAGAUGAAAAGUGUGAUCUCACCUCUAAUGAAGAGGAAAUUAAGGUAUGUAAUAAUUAAAAUUCAGUUAUGAUGCUGCUAGUAGCUUUAACAGCUUUAUUACAUCAAAGUAGAAAUAGUAUGAGAGCAAAAUAUAGGAAAGAGGUAGAGAGUUGUCUAGCCUACCAUCCUAUGUACUGUUCUGAUGGAAUCCAGCUCACCACUGACAGGGUUCCAAUCUCUAUUAUUUAAUAUUGUACUAUAAAAUGCUAGUGGUAGCAAUUAAGAGAAGAAAAAGAAAUGGAAUGGAUUAAAAUAGGCAAUAAGGAGUAUUAACUAUCACUCUUUGCAGAUGAAAUAAUGGUUUAUUUAAUGAAUCCUAGAAAAUCAACUAAAAGGCCAGUGAAAAUAAUCAACAAGUUUAUUAAAGUUGCAGGGUACAAAAUAAAACCCAUAUAAAUCAUCAGCAUUUCUGUAUAUUUCCAACAAAAAUUAGUAGCAGGAGUUAGAAAGGGAAACUCCAAUUAAAAUCGCUAAAAACACAGAAGAAAAACAACUGCUUGAUCACCUGGGUUGAUGGGGAUAUGACUGGUGAUGUAGACUCUAAAGGAUCACCAUAGUGCAAUUAUCAAUAAUAAGUAAAUAGGUCUUGAUCAAUUACACAAGGAAAACCCUGUUGAAUUGUGUGUCAGCUACAGGGAGUGGGGCUUGCGGGGAGGGAAAGAACAUGAAUCUUGUA